CUCAUGAAGGAAGCUAAAAGAUCUCGGCAAACUUCAGUCAUUGCCUUCACAGCCGUUCCUUUGGAGGGAUGGGACAGGUGAACUUCCCGCUGCCACAGCAGAGGCGCUGUCCCUGCAGACCCUGCGGCACACGGAACUCCUCUCCGUGCUGCUCGCAGCCGGAACUCCAGCAGUGCCUGCGGACACGGAUCAUUUCCCUUCCCAUCCCGAUCCCGCCCCCGCCGCUCUCCCCGUGUCCCUCUGCGCGCGCAGCCGGAAGGCGCCGUGCCCGCCCCGCCCCGCCGCGCCGCUUAUUUAGCGGGAUCCCGGGGGAAAUCGGCCUUUCCAUGGGGGACGGAACCGGAGCGGCCGCGCCUGCCCGUCUCCAGUUGGGGUGCGUGCCUCGGCAGAAAGUGAAGCUCAAGAUGAGUUUGUUGCUGGCUUUGGAAAUCCUCAGUCUGGGCUCUGCCAGGCCUUGCAAGCAGAAGGAUGUCACAUGAAUUCUGGAGCUACAAAAGUUCCAUGACAUCAGAUGAUUACUGUAUUCCUGCCUUGUAUGUGCACAAAGGGCCAACAGGAGAGUCCACCCACUUGUAGAAGUGUGGGUGUUUAAGGAGGUCAGUUGCUUUUUUACUGUCACAAGUGCUCAGGCUCCUGCAGGCUGUACUGCCAUCCAGGGAAAGCCUGUACUGGCCAUGUUGGCUACUAUCCUUUCCUUGUGGUGCUGCUACAAAUCUACCAAUUUUCAAGAGCUCAUGGGAGAAACUGGGGAGAGGCAAGGAUAAAAUGUUGUGCUCUUUCUGCAGAAAAUCCCUUAAUAUUGCUUCUCAAAAAUAGUGAUUUAUAAAGGAAUUCUAUUUCAGUCUACCCUUAAAGAGUAAUUUUUCUGGCAUAAUGAUGAGACUUCUGCCGUUUACCCAUCUGAAUGUUUUUUGAUGUGUAUCUUGAGAUCUGAAAUGCCAGUGAGGGUAAUACCUUUGUGUAAGAUUAUUGAAGGUACAGGAAACUAACUCAUUACUGUUACUGUUCUUAGCUUGAAAACAGUAGCCUGGAAUGUGGAGUUCUAAUGCACUUGGAAAUGCUUCCAUUGUCCUUCCUGCUCAUCAGAAAUCCUGCUUGGUUCCAUAGUACGGUGGGUAGUAGCUGUUCACUGAAAACGAAUAAUCCUGAAAUGAAAUUCAGGGUAGAGUGUCACUCUAGAAAGAGCAGGGGCUUUCUGAACAGUCUGAGAACUUAGUAUCAAUUUUUGAGUGUAUCAAAUAAAUGGAUCAAAAGUAAAUAAGGCA
rnacentral:lncRNA from 1 species